CAAAUAAGAUAUUUCGCACCAGGAUGGUUUUCUACCCACAGCCCAGGUGCCCUGCAAACCAGAUGGCAGCAGGCAUCUUCCAGAACAUUUCCCCACCUUUAGCACGCAGGCCCCUGGCCAGGAAGAUCUUCAGGGAUCUCUCCCUCCCUCCUUAGGACUUGUUUGUUUCUGCAGCCAGAGAUUAGGAUCAAAAGGUUUGUGAAAACGAUUCUUCCCACUCGCCAGAGUCGGAGGGAACAGCACAAUCAGAAACACUUCAGAUGCUUGACCCACGCUCGAGCCUGCAAACAAAAGUUGCAAGGAGAGGCUGAUGUUUUCCAGGCCCAAUUAGCAUAAUGUUGUAAUUCCCGAGCUCUCGGGCUGCCUGCAUCCCUUCGCCCCGGCCGGCUCCGGCUCCCUCCUCCUGCUCCAUCACCAUAUGCCCGUCUUUUACAGUUCUUUGGUGCGUGAUGCUCACAGAGUGGAUAAUUAGCUAAAUGAAUUAAUUGACAUUCAUACUUGUAAUUAGCAACCGGUUACAAGCAGCUAUUCUCCUUGGGACGGCUAAAAUUUCUCGGGGAUUGGUGUUAAAACACUGGAAAAUCGUUCGGGGAGGAUAACCGGGCGGGCCGUGAGCGCGGGUGGCGACCGGGCUGUGAGAGCCGCACGGCGGUGAGCAAGCCCGAGCAAAAGCGGAGCAGGCUGUGGAACGCGUUGGAUGGAUAGUGUUGGAUGUGCCGCUGCUGCUCGGGAGGAGGAGGAGGAGGAGAAGUUUCCAGCUUCGGGAGGAACGCGCGCCAGAUGGGCGGCUCCAGCCCGCGGCUCCCGGCUCGCCCUUCCCACCCUUCCCAGCCCCGCUUGGGGGGAGCUCGCAGCCAAGCCCCGGUAAAGAGGAGGCUGCUCGGGCACAGCAAUGGAAAUUGGAUGUCGUGAUGUUCCAGCAGAGUAUUCCCAGUGAACUGACAAAGCACAGGCUUUCUUCCCAGCAGUGGGCACCCUAAAGAGCCCCGGGUGGAAGCUGCCAGGCAGUGAUGGACCAACAGCUCAGGGAAGGGGCCAAGAGAAGGGAAGCUGCUCUGGGAGGUCAGGAAAGGCCAGCUAACCACCACAACUCGGGAGCAUUUUGAUAUCCUGACGAGCCCCAAUGGCAAGGGUUUGAGGGCUCCUUU
rnacentral:lncRNA from 1 species